CGGUCCUCGCACUUUUCUUAAGUUUACUUACUUUUCUUGUUUCCUCAACCAUCUGUGUGAUACGUCUGGCAGAAAAAUGUGAAACACAAAUGGCGCUCUAAACAGUAAGAAGUCGUUGUUCUUAAGCAAGGUGGGCAUUUCCACUAUUUAGGACUGGUAGCGACAGGCUAAGCACUUACCCUGUCAGAAAUCUUAUAGAUUAACGAAACCAACGCAAGGCUGAGUCUUGUCGAGGCUCUAUGCUCUGGAGCGGAGUGAACAAGGAAAAAAAAUCAGUAUCUUAAAUAGUAACCUACCCAUUUCCACAGAGUUCAUCCAUUUCGGAUCUGCAUGUUGGACACAUUCCGAGUUAGCCAUUCACUGAAUGCUUAGAAACAAUUUUUCUUCCCUUUGUUUAUUUGCUUUGUAUUAUUAUAACUCGUGACGCCAGUCAGUCGGUUAUCAAAAUCAUGAAAAAUAAAGUAGUGGUUUUUGGAAGACGCCACUUUUAGUAUUCUGUACACCGUGGGUUGGUAGCAAGAAUGAGAGAUUACAAGGUUUGGGCGUCAGAAGCGAAAUUGCGGGAAUAAGUUUGACUGCCAUCCUCAUCGGAGAAUAGCCAUUAGAGUUCUGUCCACUCAUUUAAUAUAUUUUCACACACUCGGCCAGUCAAUCGUUGUUCAGAAGUAACAUAGCCGGAGGCAAGGUGAAUGUAUUCAAGGUGCUAGCAGUAGUACACAAACAAAACGUUACAUGUAUUUGAUUUUCGCUGCUUGGACUCAGUUGUUAAAAUGUACUUGAAUAAAAGUACCCAUUCUUUGAGCAUUUUUCUACUUAGAUUAUUUUACCUGAAAUAAUAUUAAUUUUUUUUAUUUUAUAUGACCGGAUAACUAUUACUUUCUCCUCAAAUAAGAAUUUCCACUUCAACAAACGACGAAUUAGCAACAACAAAGCACAUAUUUUUGACAAAGUGCCCGAGGCGAAUUAAUCAGCUGUUCUAUUGAUAUCAGCUGAGGCUGUUUUUUUGUAUAUCAAACCUCAGUUUUUUCGUAGCAAACCGCUGUCCCAACCUGUUUUACGUCAGCAAAUCAGCAAAUUCCUUCUAAAUCGCUAAGAGCCGAUUAAUGGUCUUAUGGGGUUAGGGGUAGUCAGAGGCACGAAAAAAUGUUGAAUUUCAAUAAUUUUUUUGCUAGUCAAACGCUUUAUUUUACAAAAAUAAAAACAUAGCAUUACAAACGCAAAGAAAGGUACUUGAGCGGCAGGUCACGCUAUUUUGUAGAAAAAAAGUUAGAAGUCGUUUUAUUAUCUCUGUGCUAUUUUUACCCAGUAGCAACGAACGCCGGGUCAAAAAAAAUCAAAAUUUUUGAAAAACAAGGCACGAGUUUUUUUAUGGUUUUCAAAAGCAGCAUACAUUUUAUUGAAAUCUACCAAGCGGCUUUUAAGUUACAGUGAUCACCAGUUCAAAAAACAUAGUUUUGAGAAAAACGCGUUUAAAGUUUUGCUGCCGAUUUACGUAGAAUUAUACGAAGUUUUUAAUUACUUACACUGUGUCAUCUAUUCUUGGGCCAUAUAAUAGUUCCUCAGCCGUCAUAGCAGCUUCCAAAAUAUCCGGAGUGCCCGAGCGCCCUUUGUUAAUUGUAGAAUAACUCGAAAAGUAUUUGUUGGAUUCACUUCAAAUUUUCACACAAUAUUUUUAAUUUUACUUUACUUUAUUUUUAAUUUUACUUUAAGAAAAUGCAAAAAAAAUAUCCACUUGUUUUUUAAUUCUGACUACACCUAACCCCUUAUGUUGGCCGCACCUCUGCAUUCUGCACAUCUCGGUCGGCAGUGCUGAGCUAAAAAUCUGUUUCACAAGCUUCAGUUUUCUUGCAGGGUAGUUGCCAUUCAACAUGCAUUACAUACCCACAUCUAGCUGGCUGUAUGUAUAUGUUCAAUAGAUAUGUAUGUGUGUGCCUCAUUAUAUACAUAUUUAGCAAAUACAUCGUACUUACAUAUACAAUAACAUAUAUAUAUACAUAUUUAUAAACCCAUAUACAUAUAAAUGAAGUAAAGUAAAUAGUUUAUAUAUUUGUAAGUUAAGGUUAAAGCAUUUACGACGUUAUUCUAUUAAAAUAUGUAUACACAUAACAGUAAAUAGGAAAAGGUUAUUGUUUAUUGUCAAAUGGCAUUCUCAAGAUGCACUGCUAUUAAGCCGAAUUUUUGUAUGCGUGUAAAAAUUUGCAAAGCAACAACAAAACCAAUUGAUGCACUUAGUUCUAAAAAAGUUACAUUUACAACAAAAACUUCAAUAAUCGAAUUAUAUAGUAGUUACAACAACCAGCAAAGCAAAGAAAAAUUAAAUAAAAAAAAAAUUAAUAAAAAAAAACAAAAAAAAAGAACAAAAACCAAUGAAUGGAAUUGCAUGUGGAGUUAAGUUUUUCAAUUGAACUUAUCGCUUUUUAAUAAUCACAUAAUCCUCACUAUUUGUACGCAUUGUAUGUAAAAUCAAUUGUAUUUGUUAGUUGUAAUAUUUGAUUGUGAAUUCAAGCGUUACUAAUCUUAUUAAGCCAAAUCUCUCUCAUUCAAGUUAUUAUAUUCGUAUUCUAAUUGGUCUUGCUGGCCGCAAAAAUACUUACUUAAAUACAUACAUACAAAUGUAUAUCAGAACACUACUAAAUAUUAUAUUGAUAUCAAGAAGGAAAAAUAAAACUAUAACUCCAUAUCUGGCUACACCAAAAACAA